GACGAACGCUGGCGGCGUGCUUAACACAUGCAAGUCGAACGGAAAGGCCCUGCUUUUGUGGGGUGCUCGAGUGGCGAACGGGUGAGUAACACGUGAGUAACCUGCCCUUGACUUUGGGAUAACUUCAGGAAACUGGGGCUAAUACCGGAUAGGAGCUCCUGCUGCAUGGUGGGGGUUGGAAAGUUUCGGCGGUUGGGGAUGGACUCGCGGCUUAUCAGCUUGUUGGUGGGGUAGUGGCUUACCAAGGCUUUGACGGGUAGCCGGCCUGAGAGGGUGACCGGCCACAUUGGGACUGAGAUACGGCCCAGACUGCUACGGGAGGCAGAAGUGGGGAAUAAUGCACAAGGGGCGGAAGCCGGAGGCAGAAACGCCGAGUGCGGGAUGACGGCCUUCGGGUUGUAAACCGCUUUCGCUUGUGACGAAGCGUGAGUGAAGGUAAUGGGUAAAGAAGAACCGGCUAACUAAGUG
rnacentral:rRNA from 1 species